AUAUUAUUUAUAGUAAUAAUUAUUAUAAUUUUUAUUGCCGUUUGCUGUUAAUAUAAGUUAUAAGUUGCAUCAGAAUAACUGAAUCUUGACGAAAUCUUGGUCCAAUGUUACAAAAUGAGGUUUAAAUAAAUUCUUUUCACCAAACAUAAACAUUUCCACUUAUGUUUUAUAAUAUUAAUAUUUUGUCGUGCUUUUCUGUUGCAGGCAGAUGUAAUGUAUGCCCAGACUGCUGUUUGACGGGGUCAGACGAGGUCAGGGGGGAAAUCGUAGAGUGUUAUGAACAGAAACCAGGACCAGCCUGUGCUAAACACUUCUACAGGGUUAAGAUCAAACAUGGUGUUAAAUAUUUGUGCAUCAACCCAAAUUCCAAAUGGUUCGAAGGAGUGAAAACACAGAAAAACCUAACUUGCAGCCCAGGAGUGGCGCAUCGUGGACACAAAUUACAUGUUACAGCAAAACCAAAAAAGAGAAGCUCUGACCACCCUGCGUUACUGACUGCUACAGGAAAAACAGAAGCUUGAAAACAUCUGCUUCAGAGACAUCAGCAGUGUUUUUCAUAGAUCUCAGUAGGAAACAAACAUGUUUUAUGAGUUUAGAGAAACAUGAAAUUUAUGAUAGUUAACGACUUUCUGUCCUCCAAAUCCAUAAAUGUACAUUUAUUCUCACUUCUAAAUAUUCAGCCCUCUGAUAAAGGAACUCUGCUUAUUCAAAAGAUGUCAAACAAAAUUUUAUGAGUUUAUUUUCUUUUCAUCUUUCGUUUUCAUUUUGCUAUGUUAAUCAGAUUAUUUGUAUUCAAAAGAUGUUAUAUUUUAUGCUUUCAUAAACUUGUAAUUAAGUUGUUUUUUUUUAAUUCUUCAAUAUU